AUUGAACGCUGGCGGCAGGACUAACACAUGCAAGUCGAACGAGUGGCGGACGGGUGAGUAAUGUCUGGGAAACUGCCUGAUGGAGGGGGAUAACCACUGGAAACGGUAGCUAAUACCGCAUACCAUCGGAUGUGCCCACAUGGGAUUAGCCAGUAGGUGGGGUAAAGGCUCACCUAGGCGACGAUCCCUAGCUGGUCGGAGAGGAUGACCAGCCACACUGGACCAGAUACACGGUCCAGACUCCUACGGGAGGCAGCAGUGGGGAAUAUUGCACUAUGGGCGCAAGCCUGAUGCAGCCACGCCGCGUGUAUGAUGAAGGCAUUCUGGUUGUAAAGCACUUUCAGCGGGGAGGCGUUACCCUCAGAAGAAGCACCGGCUAACUCCGUGCCAGCAGCCGCGGUAAUAC
rnacentral:rRNA from 1 species